rnacentral:rRNA from 1 species
UAAACUAGGAUUAGAUACCCUAUUAUUGAAGUUGAAAAUGAAAAGGCCAGAUUAGUAAUAGUUAUGUUCUUGAAAAUUAAAGAUAAUGGCGGUGUUUUACUCCAGUCAGAGGAACCUGUUCUUUGAAUGAUAGUCCACGAUUGGCUUUGCUUUUUUUCUUAGUUUGUAUAUCGUCGUUUUUGAAAACCUUAUAAGGGAAAGAGUUUUCAAUAAUUUUUUAUAAAAAUAAAGACAGAUCAAGGUGCAGCUUAUAAAAGAGUAGAAAUGGGUUACAUUUAAUAAAUUAGUGGAAUAUUAAAUUUUAAUUUUUAUAUGAAAGUGGAUUUGAUAGUAAUAAGCAAUAAAUUUUGUUUAUGAUUUGGGUUCUAAAAUGUGCACAUAUUGCCCGUCGCUUUCAUUAGAGUGAAAUAAGUCGUAACAUAGUAGGUGUACUGGAAAGUGUACCUAGAGGACAGGUUAUAGCUUAAAUUUAAAGUUUUUUAUUUACAUUAAAGGGAUCAGUGUGUAAAUCAAUGUAAUGAGAGGGUACUUUUGAUAAAAUUGUUUUAGGGGAAAUAGUUUUAAUCUUAGUGGGGUUUUCGAAAAGAAUACUUUAAUCAAUAGUUAAUUAGUACAGUGAUGGAAUUAUCAAAUUUUUUAAAAAGAAAGAUUAAUUUUUUGUACCUUGUGUAUCAGGGUUUAUUUAUUAAGAUUUAUUUAUUUAAAUUUCCCGAAUUGAAAAGAGCUAAAAUUGUAUUGAUUUUUAUGUUUCAAUAUAACUUAAAAUACGGUUUUAGUAGUGAAAAGCUUUUCAUUUUUCAAUAUAUCUGGUUUUUAAGGAAAUGAAUUUAAUUCAUCUAAAGAUUUACUUUUUUUUUUGUUUUAUUUUAAAGAAAUUUUUAGUUAAUUAUUAAGGGGAUGAGCUUUUAUUAAUAUUUUUAAACUAAUAAAUUAGUAAUAAAUAAGUAGAAUUAGAAUUGUUUAUCUUUAUAAUAAUUUUGUAAUUAAUUUAUUAUAUACAAUAAUUUUUUAAUUAGUUAGAUUUUUUACUUAAAUUUUAAUUGAAAUAUAAUUUGUUAAGAAACUAUGAUUAAAUUAGUAGAUAUGUUUAUAGAUAAUAUACUUUUUGAAAGGUAUUAAAAAGGAACUCGGCAAAUGAGUUUUUCGCCUGUUUAAUAAAAACAUGUCCUUUUGAAUAUUAUUUAAGGUCUAAUCUGCUCAAUGAUUAUUUAAAUUGCCGCGGUAAUUUGACUGUGCAAAGGUAGCAUAAUAAUUUGUUUUUUUAUUGAAAACUGGAAUGAAUGAUUGGACGAGAAAACAUCUGUCUUUUUGAUAAUUUUAUUGAAUUUAACUUUUUAGUAAAAAGGCUUAGAUAAUUUUAAAAGACGAGAAGACCCUAUAGAAUUUAAUAGUUUAUAAAAUGAAAAGUUAAUUAGUAUAAUAAUCUCUUAUUUUUUUGUCUAUUUGAUUGGGGAGAUUAGAAGAUAGAUUAAACUCUUUAAAUAUUUAGUCAUUGAUGAAUGAAUAAAAAAUCUUAGUUUUUCAAGAUUAAAAUAAAUUACCUUAGGGAUAACAGCGUUAUUUUUCUUUUGAGUUCUUAUUGGAAGAAAAGUUUGCGACCUCGAUGUUGGAUUAAAUUUAAUUUUGGGUGCAGAAGCUUAAAAAUUAAGUCUGUUCGACUUUUAAAAUUUUACAUGAUCUGAGUUCAAACCGGAGA